AGCCAUGCACAGGCAGCGUUGAGAGGAAGAACGCUCCUCCUGUUCUACCCCCUCUAACCUGUCAACAUACAUUCCCCCCCCCGUGGGCGCCCCCCCCACAAGACACCUCUUUGGCUCAGCUGUAUGGGCUCUGCUGUUUGGAAUGGAUUCUCCUUCCAGCCAGCCAGCCCUUUGGACUUGCGUGUCUCUGUCUGCGUAUCUCGUGUCCCAUCGGCCGAAACAGGCUCUCGACUUUUUCCAAACUAACCUCCCAAGACUGUCCCUCUUCCUCACAGCCACAAUGGUGGCCUGUCGGAACGCAAAGGGAAGAGUCGGGACAAACCAAAGGCCACGGCAGAGGCCACGGCCCUCUUUUCCACCCCACCUGCCACCCCUACCUGUGCCAGUUCUGCUCCACCCAAGCCCCAUACGGUCCAAGAGGCUGCUGGCUGGCGACUCCAGCGUCACAACGGCAGCAGGAGACCCUCUCGCGCGCGGCUCUUCUCCUCCGAGCCCUGGUUGUUCUGGGUCCCCUCCUGCCGUGAGAGGCUUCAGCCACAGACGGGCUUCCUUCCACAAAGCCCAGUUCCCAGCCUUUCCACGGACGCGCUACCCCACUCCUCCAGCUCCCAGGGCCCCUUCCCCAAAGGGCUCUCCCUCCGCCCCCUCCUCCAUGAUGAUCCCUUACCUUCCUUGCUGCUCCUCACCACAGGAAAGCUUGGGCGCCUCUCUGAGCAGCUUCUGUCUUCGCCACCGGCAGAGGGGGUGCCCCUGGGGAGCCCUGCUCCCCGCCCAGGCAGAGACGAUGGCACCAGGCAGCAGGGAGAGCUGGGAUGGGGGCAAGGAGAAGCUGUGCCACCCCUGGACGCUCUGGGCAACAAACACGCUCCCCAUUUGGGCCCCUGGCGAGGAAGGCAGGUGGGCACAAACCCUGGCCUUUAGCCUCUCUGUCCCUGAAAGCACGUCCAGUGGCUUUCUCAAAGGGAGCAAAAGCCAACAGCCACUCACACCUCCGAAGGAGGCAGCCCCAGAGCUAGAACUGGGUUUGACUGCUGAGAAAAGGCGAGGCAGCAGCCCCUGAAAACAGCCCCCUUCCUGCCAGGCCUGCUGGCUUUGCACGCACCGAGGGGCUCCCUCGGUUUAUCAAAAGCCUCGGCCAGAAGGCUCAGGC
rnacentral:lncRNA from 1 species